GAAACUCGCCUACAUGAAGCUGGAGUUGCUAGUAAUCGCGAAUCAGCAUGUCGCGGUGAAUACGUUCCCGGGCCUUGUACACACCGCCCGUCACACCAUGAGAGUUGGCAAUACCCAACGUACGUGAUCUAACCCGCAAGGGAGGAAGCGUCCUAAGGUAGGGUCAGCGAUUGGGGUGAAGUCGUAACAAGGUAGC
rnacentral:rRNA from 1 species